UUCUCCUGCAGCCCUUCCCUGACUGGGCUCUUUGUAUUUCUGUGUAAGCCACUUCCUGUUUCCACUUCUAGGUCAUAAACCAAGCUUACAGAUUCACUCAGCCAGGAGGCCCAGCUCUGAUCACUCCUCAGAGACCACGGCUGUCUCUCAGAGAGGGAUCAGAGGAUACAACUUGCAAGGACAAGUUAUCAGUUCAUUCUUAGGAAAACAUAGGAACUUUCCAAGACUUUUUGGAAUGCUUCCUGCCUAGGACCAGAAGGCUGGCAUACCUGAAAAAUCUGUGACUUGCAUGGUUUGCGUUUCUGUGCUCUGCUGAUGCCCAGCUCCUCAGCAACUUGGACAGACUGUACAAGGGCACUUUGGGAGGACUUUUUGCAAAGACCUCACCAGAAACCCUGCUUUGGCAAGGGCCAGGCCUGCCAGAAAAUCAUCAGGCAACAGCUGGUAGUCCCUGAAGAAGACAUGAACAAGAAGCUGUUUGAAAGCAUUAUCUUCUAGAAACUAAAUUUCGAAACAAGGAAGAAACCACAGCUUGGACGAAUACUGCAUUUCCCGCCCACGGUUGCAGUUAGGAGCGGUCAUGUGACUGAGUUCCUGGCAAUUGGAAACUGGGCAGGAGUGAUCUACAAUCAGAAGAUCCACUGAAGAACUCCAAGACUCUGGCAAAUGGAAAGCCAUCCUAGGAACAAAUCUAGGUCUAGCUGACUGCGUAGAGCACCUUCCACUGCGCAACCAGAUGACCUACACUGAACUGUAGUAUUAGAAAUAACUCUUAACUGUGUUAAGUCAAUGAGCUUUGGGGGUGUCUGUUACAACAUUUUAGCCUAUUCUGACUGAUGUAAUAUCAAAAUCCUUAAAAAUGUCCAAAAGAUUUGACCUAGCAAGUACAUUUUGUGGAAAUAGCCAGGAGAAAUAAUUAGGGGCGCCUGGGUGGCUCAGUCAAUUAAGCAUCUGCCUUUGGCUCAGGUCAUGAACCCCGUAUCCUGG